rnacentral:lncRNA from 1 species
CUUACUUAGAUCAUUAAUGUUUUUUCCCUUAGUAUUCUUGAACUGUCUUAGUAUUCAGCAGGAACCCUUUGGAGGUAAAGAGCAGUAAGAAUUUGGAACACUUGUUGACAAAAUGAAUGUAAUUUAAUACAGAAGUAGAAUUGGCCACUUUUAGGUGUCGAUGCUGCUGAAAGUGUAUAUUAAGGAAAAGUUUAGUUAUCUUACUUUUUGUGUAGGUACUAGAACUACUUGUCCUGUGUUCAACAAACAUUUGUGUAGUUAUUACCUACUUGUACAAAUGCACUUUUUGACCUGAAAAUCCAAAAACUCCCCUUCUUCCCCCCACCUCUUAAGACUGCAUCCUCAAAGGAAGAGUGGGGUACUUUAAAGGAAAGGUGGUUGUGAUUGGAUAAUAGGUACAAUGUCUACUGUAUACUUCCUUUUCCCAAGACAAGUUCCUGUCUACCAUCAGCAUUUCCAAAAUUUGAAGAUCGUGUGUGAUGUUAACUCAUUAACUGAUUAUUAAGCUUUGAGCAAUUGUGGAACCCAAAUCUAAAUGAGUACCUGGAUCUUCUAAUUCUGUUAAAUCAGUGAGUGCACAUUAUAUACAAUACUCUUUUAGCCCAGUAGGAGAGUUAAAGAGUGGAAGAUAGAUUUCUAUGUUUCAGAAAUAGAAUACACAAAGAAAAAAAAAUUUAAUCCCA